rnacentral:rRNA from 1 species
UACAGAGGUCUCAAGCGUUGUUCGGAUUCAUUGGGCGUAAAGGGUGCGUAGGCGGCGCUGUAAGUCAGGUGUGAAAUUUCGGAGCUUAACUCCGAACCUGCAUUUGAUACUGCGGUGCUUGAGGACUGGAGAGGAGACUGGAAUUCACGGUGUAGCAGUGAAAUGCGUAGAGAUCGUGAGGAAGACCAGUGGCGAAGGCGGGUCUCUGGACAGUUCCUGACACUGAGGCACGAAGGCCAGGGGAGCAAACAGG